CCCUACGGGGUGCAGCAGGCAGGCUAUGCUUCAGUUCCUUCAGGAGGAUAUCCCGAGACAGAUUAAGAAAUAUGGAAAAGACACGGCAGUUUUCGGGACAAACUGCCCUAUGCAGGAUGUAAUUAUCGCAAAAGCAAUGGAGCUCGGAUUUAUCAUGCCGGAACAGUGCUGUCCGACACCGCUACAGGGAUUCCCUGCGGCACUGGGACUUGAGAUCAAGCCGGAAGAAUCUCUUGAUUUCGCGAAGAUCAAUAAUAUGAUCAAAGAGAAAGUUAAAGCAGGAAAUAUGACCGGAAGGCUUUCAACAUGGCCGGUUUCAGUAAGUAUUUUUCGUCCGACAUUCGGAUUUGAAGCUGCUAAAGCCGCUAUUGAGAAAGAGAUUGAUCUGAAAAACAUCGAUCAGGUUAAGGAAUUGGCGGGAGGGC
rnacentral:rRNA from 1 species